GAUGAACGCUGGCGGCGUGCCUAAUACAUGCAAGUCGAACGAAGUGAAGAGGAGCUUGCUCCUUGGAACUUAGUGGCGAACGGGUGAGUAAUACAUAAGCAACCUGCCUCGAUGCCUGGGAUAACAGAGGGAAACUUCUGCUAAUACCGGAUACGUUAAUCUAAGACAUCUUAGAUUAAUUAAAGAUGGGAUACAUCACAACGAGAUGGGCUUAUGGCGCAUUAGUUAGUUGGUAAGGUAACGGCUUACCAAGACGAUGAUGCGUAGCCGACCUGAGAGGGUGACCGGCCACACUGGGACUGAGACACGGCCCAGACUCCUACGGGAGGCAGCAGUAGGGAAUUUUCGGCAAUGGGGGAAACCCUGACCGAGCAACGCCGCGUGAGUGAAGACGGCCUUCGGGUUGUAAAGCUCUGUUGUAAGGGAAGAACGAUAGGAAGAGGGAAUGCUUUCUAUAUGACGGUACCUUACCAGAAAGCCACGGCUAACUACGUGCCAGCAGCCGCGGUAAUACGUAGGUGGCAAGCGUUAUCCGGAAUUAUUGGGCGUAAAGGGAGCGCAGGCGGUUUAUCAAGUUUAUGGUUAAAGUUCGGGGCUUAACCCCGUGAUGCCAUAGAAACUGGUAGACUAGAGUGCAGGAGAGGUUAGUGGAAUUCCAUGUGUAGCGGUAAAAUGCGUAGAUAUAUGGAGGAACACCAGUGGCGAAGGCGGCUAACUGGCCUGUAACUGACGCUGAGGCUCGAAAGCGUGGGGAGCAAAUAGG
rnacentral:rRNA from 1 species